UGCCGGGACCACCCGGUAAGCCUAAAUACUCAGUGUGACCGAUAGUGGAUAGUACCGUGAGGGAAUGGUGAAAAGUACCCCGGGAGGGGAGUGAAAUAGUUCCUGAAACCAUGUGCUUACAAUCCGUCAGAGCACUUUUUGUGUGUGAUGGCGUGCCUUUUGAAGAAUGAGCCUGCGAGUCAGCGGCAUGUCGCGAGGUUAACCCGUGUGGGGUAGCCGUAGGGAAACCGAAUCCUAAUGGGGUGUUUAGUGGCAUGUCCUGGACCCGAAGCGGGGUGAUCUACCCAUGGCCAGUGUGAAGCAGCAGUAAGAUGCUGUGGAGGCGCGAACCCACGUAGGUUGAAAACUGCGGGGAUGAGCUGUGGGUAGGGGUGAAAGGCCAAUCAAACUCCGUGAUAGCUGGUUCUCCCCGAAAUGCAUUUAGGUGCAGCGUCGCAUUAGCUUGGUGGAGGUAGAGCUACUGGUUGGUUGAGCGGGACUACAAUCUUAGCAAUGUCAGCCAAACUCCGAAUGCCAUUAAUGUGUUGUGCGGCAGUGAGACUGUGGGGGAUAAGCUUCAUAGUCGAGAGGGAAACAGCCCAGAUCGCCGGUUAAGGCCCCUAAGGGUGUGCUAAGUGGAAAAGGAUGUGGGAUCGCGAAGACAGCCAGGAGGUUGGCUUAGAAGCAGCCAUCCUUGAAAGAGUGCGUAAUAGCUCACUGGUCGAGUGGUUCUGCGCCGACAAUGUAGUGGGGCUCAAGCACACCGCCGAAGCCGCGGCAAUAAUAUUUUGUUAUUGGGUAGGGGAGCGUCGUGCACGUGUUGAAGCGUUACCGUGAGGAGGCGUGGAGUGUGUGCGAGUGAGAAUGCAGGCAUGAGUAACGAAUUGGAAGGUGAGAAUCCUUCCCGCCGGAUGACUAAGGGUUCCUGGGUCAAGUUCGUCUUCCCAGGGUGAGUCGGGACCUAAGGCGAGGCCGACAGGCGUAGUCGAUGGAUAACCAGUUGAUAUUCUGGUACCCGAGUAUAUGCGCCCCU
rnacentral:rRNA from 1 species